CUGGAUUUCUUUUACACCAUCCGUAGAUAGGAGUUGAGAGAGUUCGUGGGAAGACUCUUUAAAGAACUUUGGCAGCAGUGGUUGGAUUGGAUCAGUGUGCGUUGAAAGGUAGGUUAAAGUGGACAGGAUGGGUGAAUAGAGCUUACUGAAGCAAAACUACCUCUUCUGGAAUAUACUGUUUGCUUGCUGUGAUUAGCAGCUCUUAUGUAUUGAUGAUGUGUCCAUUAUAGACAUGGCAGGAUUUUCUACAAUUGGUCAGUUCACAUUCUUUGAUUCUCUUCUGCUACAAGGUAUGUUCAGCAACAUUUUUCACCAAAGUAAGAAAAUUGUUAACGCACUAAUGAAUAGUAUGCGUAAUUUUAUUUUGCUAGAAUCCUUUGUUGUGUGAAGGCGGUGGAUAAAUAACAUCAUGAAUUAAAAGAAAUCAGGAAGGGAAUUCUGUGGCUGCAUAAAGGACCACUAGGAAUGUUGUGCUUUACGGGAUAAGGAACUAAAAUCGACAAGUUCAAGUCUGAAUUUAAGAAACUCUGGAACAAUCCUAGAUGGAACUUGUGGAAUAGUCUUCCACGGUCUGCUUAACCUUAGCCUGCUUGUGCCUUUGUUCUUUUAAUCUUUCUCUUUAUUUAUUUUUGUCAGGAACAUUUGAUUUGUAUCUAUUUUUUAUGUUUGCAUAUCAUGUAGGUGCAUUGUUAUUGAUAUUCUCCAGGGAAGGUUAGACAGCCCUGCAACGUCCAAUUAUAUAAGCAGCAAGUACCAUAGGUUUUCUUGUAAAAACCUUUUCCUAAUGGUCAAUUUGAUUGGGCAAUCAAGAUUAACACAGCCCCAGAACUCUUUUCAUCGCCCUCAUCCUUGAAGAGGGUCAUGGGUUAAUCAGGGCGCCAUCAAUGGAAUGACAGCUGUUUUGAUGAACAAUGAUGAGUCUGGACCAGCAUGGUCUGCUUAGUUUUAGAAAAAGAAUCAUAAUUCAAAAGUUACAGUAUUGCCAAAAUUGUUGAAUUGAGUGCCAUGAAGAUCAUAAUGUCAGAGAGUGCUACCAGACCAAGACUGGUUUUGUUGACAUGAUAGACCACUAAAACAUUGUAAAGUCUGAUCAAAUCUUCGGAUCGACUAAAGUGUGUCCAUAAACUAUACUGGUCUUUGCAAGGCUGUUAACGGGCGUUGGUAAAGCACUUUCAUGGCUCUGGUCCAGUUUUAUUCAUUUUCAGACCGAGAGAUCACUGCACAGGUAUUUUACGGGUGAAUUGUUUUUUUUUUUUAUUGAAUUUUACAGGUGAAUUGUUGAAUUACAUGGCAGCAAUAUCACAUUGUCGCAUGAAUUAUUCGUAUACAUAUGGCUUGAUCUUAAGAUGUUUUCAUUUUGAAUCUGUAUUCCACUUAACCUUGUAAAACUCAUCAAGCAAGCAGUGCAUUUGAUUGCGAUCAGGGUUCAAUGGAACGAUACACUUGGUUAAUUUUAAAGGGAAAUGUGGAAUUCAGUGUAGUGGCCACGGUAAGAAAGCUAAGCAGGGUCACCAGUCACUGCUGGCUCGGAGCUACCGGACAAAAUCGCCUUCAGAAUAGCAUUGCUUGCUCAUACUGCUUGCAAAUGGGAACAUAUGGACAGCAAUUCAAGCUUGUGAUGGUGAACCCAGUGAAAGCUUUUGUCAUAUCCUUGACACCAUCCUACGUGUGACCUGAAUCCUUAUCUGUGUAUGGGCUGUCAAGAUCGAAAUGAUCAAAUUCCACCUCCCAAGAGCAACGAUAAUGUCAUGUUGGACAGUCUCAUCUCUCCUCGCUGCCUUUUCUAUGCCUGUCGAACAAGUCAAAUCAAUCAUCAGAAAUUUUGUUUGCAUUGCUUGUCAUGGUAAAUUCACAGGCAGAUGAAACAAAGUUGUGAACAUAUCAUGCUUGGGACUAUUCAGCUCUCUUAGAAGGGAUUCUCAGGGAUUUCUUGGAGGAAAACUUUUAUAAUUCGACAACUCUUUUAUCCCCUGUGAAACGCCAAUGCAUGCAUGAUGCAUCUCAAACAAGGAAAAAUAUUCUGGACCAGGGACAAAGGAACCCUGUGAACAUGUAUCAAGUAUGGUGCAACCUUUUGGUGUAUAGAAGUUUAACUUAUAUGGUACUUGACCACAAAGUCACAGUUCUUUGGCA